rnacentral:rRNA from 1 species
UACGUAGGGUGCGAGCGUUGUCCGGAAUUACUGGGCGUAAAGAGCUCGUAGGUGGUUUGUCGCGUUGUUCGUGAAAACCGGGGGCUUAACCCUCGGCGUGCGGGCGAUACGGGCAGACUUGAGUACUGCAGGGGAGACUGGAAUUCCUGGUGUAGCGGUGAAAUGCGCAGAUAUCAGGAGGAACACCGGUGGCGAAGGCGGUUCUCUGGGCAUGUCCUGACGCUGAGGAGCGAAAGUGUGGGGAGCGAACAGG